GAUGAAGAACGCAGCGAAAUACGAUAAGUAGUGUGAAUUGCAGAAUUCAGUGAAUCAUCGAAUCUUUGAACGCACAUUGCGCCCCUUGGUAUCCCGAGGGGCAUGCCUGUUCGAGCGUCAUUUCACCACUCAAGCCUGGCUUGGUGUUGGGCGACGUCCUCUUUGGGGACGCGCCUCGAAACGCUCGGCGGCGUGGCACCGGCUUUAAGCGUAGCAGAAUCUUUCGCUUUGGAAGUCGGGGCCCCGUCUGCCGGAAGACCUGCUCGCAAGGUUGACCUCGGAUCAGGCAGGGAUACCCGCUGAACUUAAGCAUAUCAAUAAGCGGAGGA
rnacentral:misc_RNA from 1 species